rnacentral:tRNA from 1 species
GCCUCUGUGGCGAAAUGGUAGACGCGACAGACUCAAAAUCUGUUUCCUGCAAGGGAGUGUUGGUUCAAGUCCGACCAGAGGUACCA